GCCUAAAUUUGUAAAGGGAAGGAAGGAAAGGAAAUAGGAAAGGUUAGAUAUUUUGGGAGAGAAGAGAAGGAAGAAAGGAAGGAAUGACACGAAACAGAACCUAACCUAAAGCCUAGCCACGGAGGAAUGACAUGCUAUACUUCAUUAAAUAGCCUAUAUUUGUAAAGGGAAGGAAGGAAAGGAAAUUGGAAAGGUUAGAUAUAUAGGGAGAGAAGAGAAGGGGCUAGAAAGGAAGGAAUGACUAAGCUACACAGUGUUAUAUAGCCUGGACUUGCAAGGGAAGGAUGGGAAUGGGUUUGAAAAAGAAUAGAUAUGAAAGUAAAGGAGAGAAAGAAAGGAAAUAAGUCUCAUCUGGCCUAGAAAGGAAGGAAUGACUAAGCUACACAAUGUCAUAAAGUCUGGUCUUGUAAGGAAAUAUGGGAAUCGAUUUGAAAAGG